UCCUAGCCGUAAACGAUGAGUACUAAGUGUAGGAGGUAUUGACCCCUUCUGUGCUGUAGUUAACACAUUAAGUACUCCGCCUGGGGAAUACGGCCGCAAGGUUAAAACUCAAGGUAAUUGACGGGGGCCCGCACAAGCGGUGGAGCAUGUCGCCCAAUUCGAGGCAACGCGAAGAACCUUACCAGGGCUUGACAUCCCGUGCUACCUGUGGAAACACGGGGUUCCCUUCGGGGACGCGGUGACAGGUGCUGCAUGGCUGUCGUCAGCUCGUGUCGUGAGAUGUUGGGUUAAGUCCCGCAACGAGCGCAACCCUUGUCCUUAGUUACCAGCGGGUAAUGCCGGGGACUCUAAGGAGACUGCCUGCCACAAGCAGGAGGAAGGUGGGGAUGACGUCAAGUCCGCAUGGCCCU
rnacentral:rRNA from 1 species